rnacentral:tRNA from 1 species
AGCGGGGUAGAGCAACCUGGCAGCUCGCGAGGCCCAUAACCUCGAGGUUCCCGGUUCAAAUCCGGGCCCCGCAACUA